CCUACGGGCGGCAGCAGUGGGGAAUAUUGGACAAUGGGCGAAAGCCUGAUCCAGCCAUGCCGCGUGUGUGAAGAAGGCCUUCGGGUUGUAAAGCACUUUCAGUGGGGAAGAAAGCCUUGGGGCUAAUACCCUCGAGGAAGGACAUCACCCACAGAAGAAGCACCGGCUAACUCCGUGCCAGCAGCCGCGGUAAUACGGAGGGUGCGAGCGUUAAUCGGAAUUACUGGGCGUAAAGCGCGCGUAGGCGGUCUGAUAAGCCGGUUGUGAAAGCCCCGGGCUCAACCUGGGAACGGCAUCCGGAACUGUCAGGGUAGAGUGCAGGGGAGGAAGGUAGAAUUCCCGGUGGAGCGGUGAAAUGCGGAGAGAUCGGGAGGAAUACCAGUGGCGAAGGCGGCCUUCUGGACUGACACUGACGCUGAGGUGCGAAAGCGUGGGUAGCAAACAGGAUUAGAUACCCUAGUAGUC
rnacentral:rRNA from 1 species